UACGUAGGUGGCAAGCGUUGUCCGGCUUUACUGGGCGUAAAGAGCGCGCAGGCGGUCGUUCAAGUCGCGUGUUAAAGCCCCCGGCUCAACUGGGGAGGGUCACGCGAUACUGAUCGACUGGAAGGCAGGAGAGGGUAGUGGAAUUCCCGGUGUAGUGGUGAAAUGCGUAGAUAUCGGGAGGAACACCAGUGGCGAAGGCGACUACCUGGCCUGUUCUUGACGCUGAGGCGCGAAAGCUAGGGGAGCAAACGGG
rnacentral:rRNA from 1 species